GUGCCUAUCCGCCAUCUUUACGGGGGGUAGCUUCGGGCGUGAGGCGGUCCUUGGGUUGAAGGCGUGGUGACCCUGAGCUAGGUUAACCGGCGAAAGAGAAGCUGGAAGAGACGCCGGUCCCCGACUACGCUGCUCUGAAAAGAAAUGUGUUCUUUCUUCUUUUUUAUCCUUCAUAAUGGACCAAAUAUUGCCUACUUGCCAUAGACAUCUGCUGUCAAUACGUGCUGUAAUUUGACAUUCUGAAUCACAGACAUGACGGCAUUGAAAACGUACUUAUACUUGUAAAAAGAAACCAGACAUCCCUUCAAAGUUUCUACACUACUUCUUAAACUGGACCUUUGUCUGCCGUUUAGGCCGGCAGAGUUACUUGAAUCUUCAGUCCAGGUAACGAGAAUAAUUCUGUGGUUGUAUUUUUCUGUAAUUAACUGAAAGAAUAAUUAAGUCAUAUUCUAGUAUGUUCUGAAAUAUUUACUGAUCUUACAAAUUGUAAUUUCUAAGAUGAUUUGCUCUAAGAUGAUUCUCCUCAUAGCAUAGUUUUAGUUUACUUAUUUUGCACAUAUGUUUGAAACCGACUGCUGUGGGAAAUGAACAGUCCAUUCAAAAAAUUUCCUUUACUUUUUUCUGCCAAUGGACUUAUUUGAAAUUUUCACUAUAGUCAGAGUUUCUGUGCAAACAUAAAAGUAGCAAUUAUUUGAUUUUAAAUAGAUUUUUCAGAUUAUUGGUUAACAUUAUUUGAAAGCAAGUUUAUGGGUAAUAAAAGUCAGAACUCAAUACAUAUGGUGUAGUUACCACCCAGUUUAAUAUGUAGCAAAAAUGUACACUUGCUAUUUCUGAACUGUUAAUUUUUCUGCUGUAUUCCAACUGACUAGAACACCGUUAGGAAUGCAUCUUUAUAAAUGGGUACUACUUGAUGAUGGAAAUGAUUUCGUAUGGACGGUAUAGGAUGUUAAUAAUGAAGCCAUAUGUUUAUGUCUGAAUUUACAGUGUUCUUUUUUGUUUGUUUUUGCGGUACGCGGGCCUCUCACUGUUGUGGCCUCUCCCGUUGCGGAGCACAGGCUCCGGACGCGCAGGCUCAGCGGCCAAGGCUCACGGGCCCAGCCGCUCUGCGGCAUGUGGGAUCCUCCUGGACUGGGGCAAGAACCCGUGUCCCCUGCAUCAGCAGGCGGACUCUCAACCACUGUGCCACCAGGGAAGCCCUGGAUUUACAGUUUUAAACAAUCAUUUACGAAGUCAUUUUGCUUUUAUUUUGAAGAAUAUAAACUGUUGUUUCACUUAGACAAAUCAGCAAGAUCUAAUUUAUGGCAAGAAAUAUUCCAUUGACAUGUUGUGCUGUAACGUGGGAAAAUGUAAAUCUUUUUCAUGGUUUCUAUCAAAGUGAAAUAAAAUUUAAUUCUGAAAAAAAAAAGAAAGAAAGUCAGUCACACUGGGAAGAACAUUGGUCGACUGAUCUCUUACUUGAAACACCUAUCUUUCCAAAGAUUAUGACGAGAAGAAGGUUUGAACAAAUAAUGACAUUUCUUCACUUUAACGAUAACUCAGAAACUCCACUUCCUGCAGACAGAAUUUCAAAGUUAAACCUCUUUUGGAUUGUUUUCUGCCAAAAUUUCAGUUGUUCUAUGUGCCCAAACAAGAGCUAUCACUUGAUGAGGCAAUGAUAAGGUGGAGAGGACAACUCAGAUUCAAAACCUGUAAUCCAGGAAAACUUACAAAAUACAGAAUUUUGGUCAGGAUGGUUAGUGAAAGUGAAAUUGGAUAUAUAUGCAGCCUUGAGAUUUACAUGGGUGAAGGAAAGAAACUGCAAGAAACAAUAUUGUUGGUCCUACAACCUUAUCUUGGUUCAUGGCACCAUAUUUACCAAGACAGUUAUUACAACAGUGUGCUCACAUCUGAAAUAAGAGAGAAUCGUGGUCUACUAAACCAAUUAAAGGAGAAAUCUAAAAAUCUACAGCGGGGAGAAAUGACAUUCUUACGGAAGGGAAAGUGAUUCUUCUUAUAUGGAAAGACAAGAGGCUAGUCCUCAUGGUGACAACUAUUCAAGACACCUCCAUAGCAUCUACAGGAAAGGAAUGCAGGAGGACUGGCCAUCAGAUAACUAAGCCCACUUGUAUAUAAGAGUAUAAUAAAUAUAUGAAAGUUGAUCGAUCCAAUCACUAUCUGGCAAACUUCAGUAUCCUCUGGAAAACUCGAAAAUGGUUUAAGAAAGUGGGUUUCUAUUUGAGUAAUUGCGGUUUAUUCAAUGCGUUUAAAAUUUAUUGUAGCUUUAUUGCACAGAGUAAAAUGACUUACAAGCAGUUUUUGUUAGCAGUAGUUAGAGAAUGGGUAACUGACCAUUCUGGUGAAUGUAGUGGUAGUCCUACACCUGGUCCUUCAAGCCCCCCACACAGAUCCACCUUGUCGACUAUCAGGUGAAAUAAAAGAACAUAUUCUAGAGGAAAUAAUACCCACAGGACUAAAAAAAAAUGCUGCUGGGAAUUGUAGAGUCUGCUCUUCCAGGGGAAAGCGCAAUGAAACACGGUAUAUUUGUAAUAGAUGUUCUGUUCCCUUGCAGAGAGGUGCCUGCUAUACUGCCUAUCACACUCUAACGAAAUAUUAGAAUGCUUUAGUAAGACGUAUACAAAGUUUCAAAUAAAUACAUUAAGUGCAAAAAAAGUUGCUGAUAUUUACUCAGACGUGGGUGUUUGAAUAUUCACUUAUGUAACAAAUUGCCAGGCAUGGGCGUUAGUUUCAGCAAAAAUCCCCUGGUCAGUAAUAUGUUAAUUUGGCUAGAUUUAGUAGAAGUGAGGAUAAGUUAGAGAGAAAAAUUAUGUUUCAGUAAUAUACCUUUGGAUAUUGAAGUUUUGUAUUUACUGAGGUUUUGUAUUUAUUCUCUACGUCCAAGAUGGAUCCUUGUUACUAUGUUACAUUAUUGUAAAGUUUAAUUGAAUUAUUAAAAUAAUAUUCUAAGCUUGUUUCUAAAGCAAGUUACAGUAAUCGGUCUUUGGAUGAAGAUCAGAUGCCCUGUGACUUGCAACUAGGAGAUUAUGCACCUGGAAAAGACAUCAUUUAAAGGACUGUCUCCAAAUUAGACAAAAGGACCCUUAUCAGGUACUCUUUAACUAGCAUAUGUGCAGCAAAAUUGAAAGAAAUUGACUCUUAUUUAUUUGGCUGCACUGGGUCUUGGUUGUGGCAUGUGGGAUCUUUGUUGCAGCAUGUGGGAUCUUUUAGUUGCGGCAUGUGGGAUCUUUAAUUGCGACAUGUGGGAUCUUUUAGUUGCGGCUUGCGGAAUCUUUAGUUGUGGCAUGUGGGAUCUUUUAGUUGCAGCAUGCAGGAUCUUUAGUUGCGGCACGUGAACUCUUAGUUGCAGCAUGUGGAAUCUAAUUCCCUGACCAGGGAUCAAACCCGGGCCCCCUGCAUUGGUAGCAUGGAGUCUUAGCCACUGGACCACCAGGGAAGUCCCUGAAGGAAAUUGACUCUUCAUGUUUUCCACUUAAGAAGGGCCUCUGCAUUGGACUGUCUAUAGAAAAGACUGCUGACCACAAAUGACACCCAUACCAGGAUGAGAAGAAGAUAACAGUAGUGGUAGGCAGCUGACCCAAAAAUCUGGACCAGGCCUGUAAGAACCAUCCAACUAAUUUAUUUAUUAUUAUUUUAAAAAUAUUUGUUUGUUUAUUUAUUUUUGGCUGCUUUGGGUCUUAGUGUGGCAUGCGGGAUCUUUUUGUUGUGGUGCGUGGGCUCUUCGUUGCGGCACGCGGGCUUCUCUCGGGUUGUGGCGUGCAGGUUUCUCUCUAGUGGCGCGCGGGUUCAGUAGUUGCAGCGUGUGGGCUUAGUUGCCCCACAGCAGGUGGGAUAUUAGUUCCCCGACCAGGGAUCGAACCCUCAUCCCCUGCAUUGGAAGGCAGAUUCUUAACCACUGGACCACCAUGGAAGUCCCCAUCCAACUAAUUUAAUUGAACUGUUUACCAAUGUUUGUCUUCCUAUCAAAAUGCAAAGUUAUUGUUUUACUUCUAACCAUACUUUUAACUCCAAUGUUCAGGAUGGAAAGAAAAUUCUUUAGUGAAGUUAUCGUCAAGAGUAUAACUAUUCAUGACGUGUCACUGCUUGCUUUGAGGAUACUGCUAAAAGCACAUAUACAAUGUUCGAAUGACAAUUUGGUAUAACUGAUAAAGUGUAGAGCCUAUAAAAUGUUUCUUUGUUAGCAUACAUCUGAGCUUGUUCACUAUGUUUGAUUAGUUUUCCUUCAAUGUGGGUAAUUAGGCAUACACACACACACACACACACACACACACACACACACACACAAAGAGUACGCCUAGCACUGAGGGGCAUGGUGGACCUAGGGCUGGCAGCAACCACCCUGGCAUCAAGUGACAAAUAUUUUGAUCAUCAGUGCUUUCUAUCGAAAGAUUUGCAAACAAAAAGGGGAAAUUAUAGAAUAAAUGUUCACAUAUUGAGGUAUGGCGAAGUUAUUCUGGCUUUUACAUGAUUUAACUUAGACUAGAACAGCCUGUUUGUGACCUGUCAGAGAUAUGCAUUGUACAUCUGCUUUAACCAGUAAGAAAAAGAAUACAUUUAAAAAUCAAAGUAGAGUAACUGGUUCAGGCGUCCAAAGUAGAGCUGGAUGGCCAUUCUGAAUGUGGUUUCAGACACAUUUCUGUACUACUGAGAACGUGAUUGCCAACUGCAACCUUAGGGCCUCCAGGUGCUAUUACAAGAAGAGGUGAUGUCAAGCCAGAAAGAAAAAAAGAAAAAGCCUCUCUGCAUAUCUUGCAGGAUUCUAGAGCAUCUUUUGGGGCAAGAGAAUUCUUUAACGUGAAAGCCCAGAACCUUCUCUCCUCUAAUCCUCCUCAAUUUUAACAUUGCCCCAGUUCAGCAGGAAGUAGCCAGAUGACUUCGUUGCCCUCACUCCCGUAGAUAUGGAAGGUUAUAACUGACAGGGCCACAAGGCUAAAACUGUUGGAUGCAUGAUUUCAUUUUUUUUUAAAUUUAUUUUUAUUUUAUUUUUGGUUGCAUUAGGUCUUUGUUGCUGCACGCAGGCUUUCUCUAGUUGCGACAAGCAGGGGCUCUAGGCGUGCGGGCUUCAGUAGUUGUGGCACACAGCCUCAAUAGUUGUGGCUCGUAGGCUCUAGAGCACAGGCUCAGUAGUUGUGGCGCAUGGGCCUAGUUGCUCUGUGGCAUGUGGGACCUCCCGGACCCGGGCUCGAGCCUGUGUCCCCUGCAUUGGCAGGCAGAUUCCCAGCCACUGCACCACCAGAGAAGUCCCUGAUGCAUGAUUUCUAAGUGAAACUGUUUUUCCUGUCUUCUCCCUCCGUUGCUGGGAACUAAAACUUACAUUCUUUGUUACUGAUUAAUGUGGGCAGGCAUUCUUGUUGUGUUUGUUUGUUCCUCUUAACCCCAGCCCCAAGAUUUUCCUUUAAAUAUGCCUGCUUUCUCCCCAGAAGGCAGGACAGCAGUUUUCAAGAUGUUAGUCUGCUACCCUCCUCAUUUGCUGGUAUAUCAAUAAAUUUCUCUUUUCUUUAUCCUCAAAA